GAUGAAGAACGUAGUGAAAUGCGAUACUUGGUGUGAAUUGCAGAAUCCCGUGAACCAUCGAGUCUUUGAACGCAAGUUGCGCCCGAAGCCAUCAGGUUGAGGGCACGUCUGCCUGGGCGUCACAUAUCGUUGCCCAAUGCCUAUUGCAGUGCAAUAGGAAUUUCUAGGGCGAAUGAUGGCUUCCCGUGAGCGUUGUUGCCUCGCGGUUGGUUGAAAAUCGAGUCCUUGGUAGGGUGUGCCAUGGUAGAUGGUGGUCGAGUUAGAACGAUACCGAUCAUGUGCAUGCUCCCCAAAAUAUGGCCUCUAUGACCCACACACGUCUUUUGACGCUCAUGACGAGACCUCAGGUCAGGCGGGGCUACCCGCUGAAUUUAAGCAUAUCAAUAAGCGGAGGA
rnacentral:misc_RNA from 1 species